rnacentral:rRNA from 1 species
UUCGGGAACUCUGAGACAGGUGCUGCAUGGCUGUCGUCAGCUCGUGUUGUGAAAUGUUGGGUUAAGUCCCGCAACGAGCGCAACCCUUAUCCUUUGUUGCCAGCGGUCCGGCCGGGAACUCAAAGGAGACUGCCAGUGAUAAACUGGAGGAAGGUGGGGAUGACGUCAAGUCAUCAUGGCCCUUACGAGUAGGGCUACACACGUGCUACAAUGGCGCAUACAAAGAGAAGCGACCUCGCGAGAGCAAGUGGACCUCAUAAAGUGCGUCGUAGUCCGGAUUGGAGUCUGCAACCCGACUCCAUGAAGUCGGAAUCGCUAGUAAUCGUAAAUCAGAAUGCUACGGUGAAUACGUUCCCGGGCCUUGUACACACCGCCCGUCGCACCAUGGGAGUGGGUUGCAAAAGAAGUAGGUAGCUUAACCUUCGGGAGGGCGCUUACCACUUUGUGAUUCAUGACUGGGGUGAAGU